rnacentral:rRNA from 1 species
AACGAACGCUGGCGGCGUGUUUAAGACAUGCAAGUCGCACGGUGUCAUGUUGGUAGCAAUACUUGGAUGGCACAGUGGCGCACGGGUGAGUAACACGUGAAUGACAUGCGCUUCAGAGGGGGAUAGCCCAGGGAAACUUGGAUUAAUACCCCAUGGUCUCGCAGGAGUAAAGGUGGCCGCAAGGCUGUCGCUGGAGGAUUGGUUCCCGUUCUAUCAGCUUGUUGGCGGGGUAACGGCCCACCAAGGCUACGACGUAUACCUGGUCUGAGAGGACGAUCAGGCACACUGGAACUGAGACACGGUCCAGACACCUACGGGUGGCAGCAGUCGAGAAUAAUUCACAAUGGGGGCAACCCUGAUGGUGCAACGCCGCGUGGAGGAUGAAGGUCUUCGGAUUGUAAACUCCUGUCAUCCAGGAGCAAGACCUGACGGUGAAUAGCCGGCAGGGUUGAUAGUACCGGAAGAGGAAGGGACGGCUAACUUCGUGCCAGCAGCCGCCGUAAGAC